UACGGAGGGUGCGAGCGUUGUCCGGAUUUAUUGGGUUUAAAGGGUGCGUAGGUGGCCCGGUAAGUCAGUGGUGAAAUGCGGCCGCUCAACGGUCGAACUGCCAUUGAUACUGCGGGGCUUGAGACAGAUGGAGGUCGCCGGAACGGAUGGUGUAGCGGUGAAAUGCAUAGAUAUCAUCCAGAACACCGAUUGCGAAGGCAGGUGACUACGCCUGUUCUGACACUGAGGCACGAAAGCAUGGGGAGCAAACAGG
rnacentral:rRNA from 1 species